AGAGUUUGAUCAUGGCUCAGGAUGAACGCUAGCUACAGGCUUAACACAUGCAAGUCGAGGGGAAACGACAUCGAAAGCUUGCUUUUGAUGGGCGUCGACCGGCGCACGGGUGAGUAACGCGUAUCCAACCUGCCCAUCACUUGGGGAUAACCUUGCGAAAGUAAGACUAAUACCCAAUGAUAUCUCUAGAAGACAUCUGAAAGAGAUUAAAGAUUUAUCGGUGAUGGAUGGGGAUGCGUCUGAUUAGCUUGUUGGCGGGGUAACGCCACAAGGCUACGAUCGAGUAGGGGUUCUGAGAGGAAGGUCCCCCANAUUGGAACUGAGACACGGUCCAAACUCCUACGGGAGCA
rnacentral:rRNA from 1 species